rnacentral:lncRNA from 1 species
AGAUCAGGUGUUCUUAUUAAAAAGGUGUCACCAUGAGGUUAUGAGCAUUUUAAAAAUUAUUAUUAUGUAUGUGGGUGUUUUGCCUGCAUGUAUGUCUGUGCACUAGGUGCAUGCCUGCCAACCAAGGAGGCCAGAAGAGGGUGUCGCACAAGGAACUGGAGAUGCCGGUGUUUAUGAGAGUCAUGCAGAUGCUGGGAGUUGAACUGGCAUCCUCUGGAAGAACAGCUAGCAUUCUUUUUUUGGUUCUUUUUUUCAGAGCUGGGGACCGAACCCAGGGCCUUGCGCUUCCUAGGCAAGCGCUCUACCACUGAGCUAAAUCCCCAACCCCAACAGCUAGCAUUCUUAAGUGCUGUGUCUUUUCCAGCCCCAGACUAAGUGAUCUUGACUAUUGUGAUCAUUUCACCAUCUGCAUAUACAAGACAUCACACUGUAUGUUUAAUAUGUAGAAUUAUACCCCAGAAAUAAUAAUAAUAAUAAAAAGCAACUCUCCUGCUAUUCUACAAUGUGCUUAUGUGCACCUUAAGGUCCUGGCUUAAAAUGUGUGAGUCAUGAAAUCUGCAAAGAUCAACUCCAAAUUUCCUUUCUGAGACAAUCCCUCUAACAUACCACACUCUGAGCUGGAGAUGGCAGUGGUGAUGUGCUUGCCACACAAGAGUGAGGCCCUAAGCUCAGAUCCCUAGAGCCCAUGUCAAUGCUGGUAGACAUGGAGACAGGGACUCCCAGAAUAAGGUGGCUAGUCAGACAAGCAUUGUGUAGGUGAGCUCUGGGUUCAACUGAAAGAACCUGUGUCAAUGGAUACAGUGGAGAAAGGCAGGGAGACUUCCAAAGCCAAUGUAUACAUGUAUCCAGACUUUUGCACACACUUGUGCAAACACACAAACACAUUCACACGGAAAAAUACACUUAACUUGACCCUAAAAAUGCAAACUAUUUUGAAAGAACAA